AAAAAGCACAAGGCUAUGGGUGAUGAGGAGUGGAUGUCACGCCUGCGGAGAUUCGCUGCUUCAGGGGUUUGGCCCUCUGAUGCAGGAAACAGGCCUGCUCCCCGCCAGAAGAAGUGGAAUGACCUCUAUCUGAAGAUUGACAAAUGCCCGAUGCAACGGAGGGGACAGGCAUCUCUGUUUGGGGGGCCACAGACAUGUGGCUGUGGUUUCCACACUAAGAAGCCUUCCAGCUCAGUCCCUGACACCCCAUUUCCCCGUACCACUGUUGGCACUGGUCAAGGGCAAGGCCCUUCAAGCGCUGCUGCUGCUGCCUCCUCAGCAUCAACAUCUG